GGUUCAGGAUGAAUGCUGGCGGCAUGCCUAAUACAUGCAAGUCGAGCGGUAACAGGACUAGCUUGCUAGUGCUGACGAGCGGCGGACGGCUGAGUAACGCAUGGGAACGCACCCAAACUGAGGGAUAACUAGUCGAAAGAUUAGCUAAUACCGCAUGUGAUCUUCGGAUUAAAGCCUUCGGGCGGUUUGGGAGCGGCCUGUGUACGAUUAGAUAGUUGGUGAGGUAAUGGCUCACCAAGUCGACGAUCGUUAGAUGGUUUGAGAGGAUGAUCAUCCAGACUGGAACUGAGACACGGUCCAGACUCCUACGGGAGGCAGCAGUAGGGAAUCUUUCACAAUGGGCGAAAGCCUGAUGGAGCAAUGCCGCGUGCAGGACGAAGGCCUUCGGGUUGUAAACUGCUUUUAUAAGCGAGGAAUAUGACGGUAACUUAUGAAUAAGGAUCGGCUAACUACGUGCCAGCCGCCGC
rnacentral:rRNA from 1 species